CCAAAGGCUCUUUUCAGAGCCACCCAUCUUCUGUGAAAAAGUUGCU
rfam:Loxodonta africana unplaced genomic scaffold scaffold_110, whole genome shotgun sequence.